GAUCGCGCUCCUUGCAGCAGCUAGCGGCUGUCGGCGGGCCAUGGCGAGCAAGAGCCUCGGUGUCCUCAGCCUCAGCGCCCUGCUCCUGAUUGCGGCUCCGGGGGGCGCGGGGCCGCCGACCGGCUGCCAGGGCGUCCGGAAAGUUUUCCAGCUGCGGCAACUCGGCCCCCUCAGAGACAUCCCGGAGUCGCCGCGGGCGGGGGCUGAUCUCCAGGUUUGUACUUCUAAAAAUACAACAUGUUGCACCAAAAAGAUGGAAGAAAGAUAUCAGACUGUAGCAAAGCAAGAUAUACAGCAAGUGCUUCAAUCAUCAAGCGCUACUUUGAAAUUUUUAAUAUCUCAUAAUGCAGCUGCUUUUCACGAAACCUUUGAAAUGCUCAUCAGACUUGCUGAGAAUUACACGAGCACGCUUUUCUGCAAUGCAUAUAGAAACAUGGCUGCUGAGGCUACCACACGUGUUCAGGAGUUUUUCACAGAUGUUGGGCUCUUCAUGUUUGGCACAGACAUUAGCAUGGAGGAAUUUGUCAACAAAUUUUUCGAUACUCUGUUCCCAGUAGUCUACAACCAUGUGAUUAACCCUGGUCUGACUGACAUUUCACUGGAAUAUGCAGAGUGCCUCCGAACGGCGAGAAGGGCCAUCAGGCCCUUUGGUAACGUUCCCAGACAAACCAUAGGACAAAUGGGAAGAUCACUGCUAUCCAGCCGGACCUUCUUGCAGGCUCUGAAUUUGGGGAUUGAAGUGAUCAAUACGACAGAUCAUCUGCAUUUCUCUAAAGACUGCAGCAAAGCUUUACUGAGAAUGCAGUACUGUCCUCAUUGCCAAGGGCUGACUUCAAGUAAGCCCUGUAUGGGCUACUGCCUCAAUGUCAUCCGAGGCUGCUUAGCUAACAUGGCAGAAGUUGAUCUUCACUGGCAGAUGUAUAUUCAGUCCCUGGAGGAGCUUUCAAGUGCCAUGAGUGGAACACAGGAUGUUGAGCAUGUGCUUCUAAACUUUCAUUCGCUUGUUAAUGAUGCCCUCGUACAGGCUCAUAUCAAUGGGCCGGAGUUAUCCAAGCAGGUGAAUAAGGUAUGUGGACCUCCUGUAAGGAAGCCUGUGCAGUCUCCAGGCUGUUUGUUUGAUCAGAACAAAGAUAAUCAAGGAUUGAAGAUGUUUUCAAGAGACAGUGAAGAAACCCUUGCCAGCAGAAGAAAAGAAUUUAUCAGCCACCUCCGACUCUACAGAGCCUUUUACGGUGGCCUGGCUGAUCAGCUGUGCGGUAAUGAGUUGGCAGCUGCCGAUGGGCUCCCAUGUUGGAAUGGAGAAGAUGUUGUAAGAAGCUAUACUCAUCGUGUGGUUGGCAGUGGAAUCAAAGCUCAGUCUACAAAUCCAGAAGUAAAAGUGAAGGGAACAGAUCCUGUAAUAAGUCAAAUUAUUGACAAGCUGAAACAUGUUAUUCAGCUGUUGCAGGGAAAAUCAUUUCCUAAAUAUGAUAAAUGGAAUCUCCAACAAACAGGCAGUGGUGAUGUAGAUGAACAAAUCAGUGGGGAUUGUGACGAUGAAGAUGGUUGUGGAGGAUCAGGAAGUGGAGAAGUCAAGAGAAUCCUGAAAAUUACUGACUGAACUCCCACAGGACUACUUCAUACAUCACAAUGAAUUACCUCCUCAAACCCCCUGCAGAAUGCAAGAGAGUUAGUUGUGAGAUGAUUCUGAAGCAGGUAGAGACUGCACUAUGAAGAGAUUGACCUUUGCCAAUGGAUAACAGAAAUGAGAUUGUUCAACAGAAGAUACAACAGAGACUUAAAGCUGUUAUGGUCAACCUCUACAAAGUACCCUUUGUGCACGUGGGCAUUUAUUAAUGGGGGAAGAACACUGAAUUUUUGUGUCUGUUCUGUCAGAGAAGGAUUGAACAAGAAGAAAUCUGAAUGUCACUGGGUCUGUUAGGGAUGAAGAUGUGUGUGAAAUAUUAAGUUUUGGGGAAAAACCAUGAGACAUGUUACAUUUCUCUUCGUCACAAUUUUAAGAGGGUAGUUCUUUGAGUCGUUGAGGUAGGUUUUUUCACCUAGUGUUAUGCUGUAAUUUCUGGGAGAAUGGUAGAAAAUUUUCAGAUGCCAAGAACUAUAAAUUUUUGAAUUCUCUGAAUUUUCCUUUGUGGUUAACCAUAGUGAAUCUCACAUAUAAGCUUCAUGCUGCUUUGGGAAAUUUCCUAUCCUAUGCUUCAAGCUUCUUUAGAGUGCCUAUGACAUAGUAUGAUAUAGUAUGUUUUUUUCAAAUGAUUCUGUUUUCCUAAAGCAAAAAUGAGAUCAUAGACAGUUGGAGCACCCUAUAAAGUAACUGCUCAUUCAGUACUACAUCAUACAUAAAAACUAUUAACAUUUUUAAUACCAUAACUUCAUAUUUUGUAAUAAUAUAAUAUACAGUGCAUGAUCUAAAGUUGACAACA